ensembl:snRNA U6 U6 spliceosomal RNA
AUGCUUUGGCAGCACACAUACUAACAUUGGAACAAUACAGAGAAGAUUAGCAUGGCCCCUGCGCAAAGAUGGCACACAAAAUUUGUGAAGCAUUCCAUAUAUUA